rnacentral:rRNA from 1 species
CUCUGUGAUGCCCUUAGAUGUUCUGGGCGACGCGCGCUACACUGACGGAGCCAGCGAGUACUUCCUUUGCGAAAGGCCCGGGUAAUCUUGCUUAAACUCCGUCGUGCUGGGGAUAGAGCAUUGCAAUUAUUGCUCUUCAACGAGGAAUCCCUAGUAAGCGCAAGUCAUCAGCUUGCGUUGAUUACGUCCCUGCCCUUUCUGACACACCGCCCGUCGCUACUACCGAUUGAAUGGCUCAGUGAGGCGUCCGGACUGGCCCAGAGAGGUGGGCAACUACCACUCAGGGCCGGAAAGCUCUCCAAACUCGGUCAUUUAGAGGAAGUAAAAGUCGUAACAAGGUCUCCGUUGGUGAACCAGCGAGGGAUCAUU